rnacentral:sRNA from 1 species
AAAGUUGGAUGGGGUGUUGAAACAUUACCAACAGGACGAGGGAAACAUCACCCUCUGACGAUACAGACAAUCAUCCAAUCGGUUCUGUAUCGUCACCGUAGUC